GUCACACUCCUACGGGAGGCAGCAGUCGGGGAAUAUUGCACAAUGGGCGCAAGCCUGAUGCAGCCAUGCCGCGUGUGUGAAGAAGGCCUUCGGGUGUAAAGCACUUUCAGCAGUGAGGAAGGCGGGUAUGUUAAUAGCAUAUUCGUUUGACGUUAGCUGCAGAAGAAGCACCGGCUAACUCCGUGCCAGCAGCCGCGGUAAUACGGAGGGUGCGAGCGUUAAUCGGGAAUUACUGGGCGUAAAGCGCUAUGCAGGUGGUUUGUUAAGUCAGAUGUGAAAGCCCCGGGGCUCAAACCCUCGGAAUAGCAUUUGAAACUGGCAGACUAGAGGUACUGUAGAGGGGGUAGAAUUUCAGGUGUAGCGGUGAAAUGCGUAGAGAUCUGAAGGAAUACCGGUGGCGAAGGCGGCCCCCUGGACAGAUACUGACACUCAGACUGCGAAAGCGUGGGGAGCAAACAGGAUUAGACUACCCUGGUAG
rnacentral:rRNA from 1 species